CAGUCUUGGCUUCAUUAUGUGUUGAGCAAUACGUACUGUGAUGUCUGAUGUUGGUUGUCAACUUGACUGGAUUGAGAAGCACUUGGGCAAUUGGUGAAAAACACACUUCCGGGUUUGUCCAUUAAGGAGCACCUAGAGACAAAGGGUAGGAUGAUUGGCAAACUGAGUGAGGAAGAGUACCCUAAGUGUGGGCACCGUACAGGCCAUGGGCCUAUAAGUUGGGGGCCAACAUGGAACAAAAGCUAGAAGGAAACCCACGCACCAGCCAUGUCCAGGUCUUUUUGAGUGGGUACACUGCAUUUUGCUCUGUCAAAGACCUGGAGAUCACACUCCAACUUCUUCAGCCUUUACAGGAGGACUCACCCCAGCCACUCUCCAGGAGACUUCCAGGCUUCCAGCCUUGGAAUGGCCCCCAGGUAGAGCCCUUCCCG
rnacentral:lncRNA from 1 species